AACCUGGUUGAUGCCUGCCAGUAGUCAUAUGCGUUGUCUCAAAGACUAAGCCAUGCAUGUCUAAGUAUAAGUAUUAUACAGCGAAACUGCGAAUGGCUCAUUAAAACAGUUAUAGUUUAUUUGAUAAUCGAAUUUACAUGGAUAACCGUGGUAAUUCUAGAGCCAAUACAUGCUGGUGUGCCCGACUUUUGUGGAAGGGCGGUAUUUAUUAGAUAACAAGCCAAUAUUCCUCUGGUCUAUUGUGGUGACUCAUAAUAACUGAUCGAAUCGCAAGGCCUAUGGCCGCGAUAAAUCAUUCAAGUUUCUGCCCCAUCAGCUGUCGAUGGUAGUGUAUUGGACUACCAUGGCAAUAACGGGUAACGGAGGAUUAGGGUUCGAUUCCGGAGAGGGAGCCUGAGAAACGGCUACCACAUCUAAGGAUGGCAGCAGGCGCGUAAAUUACCCAAUUCUGAUUCAGAGAGGUAGUGACAAGAAAUAACAGACCGAUACUAUGUAACGGGGUUGCAAUGAGCCGAAUUUUUCUUCCCUUGGUGAGGAGCAAUUGGAGGGCAAGUCUGGUGCCAGCAGCCGCGGUAAUUCCAGCUCCAAUAGC
rnacentral:rRNA from 1 species